CACCACGUGACACGAGGACAGCGCGGACAGAGCCUCCAGACACAGAUCAGAGUGAGACAUGCCGAGGACGAGACGAGGACAGGACAGACAAAAUGUAAAUCAGGGAUGUGCAGGUGUGGUUCAGCGAGGGUCACAGAGGACGCGUCCCUACAUUACUCCAGUCUGAGACACCUGCACCAGCCCCGCCCCAUGGUCCGAGGGCAGACUCACCUGGUCGCAGAGGACGUCGUUUACUCGAAGGUGAACCGUGGAAAAAACUCAAAGUGAUGGCAUGACGUUUGGCUGCCACCUGCUGGUGACAG